CUACGGAAGGCAGCAGUGAGGAAUAUUGGACAAUGGCCGCAAGGCUGAUCCAGCCAUCCAGCGUACAGGAAGAAGGCCCUACGGGUUGUAAACUGCUUUUGUCAGGGAAUAAACCUGUGGAUUUACUCCGCAGCUGAAGGUACCUGAAGAAUAAGCACCGGCUAACUCCGUGCCAGCAGCCGCGGUAAUACGGAGGGUGCGAGCGUUAUCCGGAAUUACUGGGUUUAAAGGGUGCGUAGGCGGCUAUGUAAGUCAGGAGUGAAAGUUUGCGGCUCAACCGUAAAAUUGCUUUUGAUACUGCAUGGCUGGAAUCAGGAUGAGGUCAGCGGAAUGUGGCAUGUAGCGGUGAAAUGCAUAGAUAUGCCAUAGAACACCAAUUGCGGAGGCAGCUGGCUAGACCUGUAUUGACGCUGAGGCACGAAAGCGUGGGGAGCGAACAGGAUUAGAUACCCCGGUAGU
rnacentral:rRNA from 1 species